rnacentral:lncRNA from 1 species
AUAGCUUUUCUGUAUUUCCAAUCAACUUGAACUAGGGAAAUGAGGUACAGCAAAUAAGGAAACUAUUAAAUUGGUAAUGUUUUUCUGUCUUAUGCUUCAUACGACUGGAAUAUAAUGAGAUGAUCAAGCCAGAAUUUUUUCAAUCUUAUUUUUUACCUCAUGCUACCUAGCUUUUAUUUCAUAACCACAAAGAAAAAAAAUGAAAGUCAAAAAAAAGAUGUACAAUAUGUGAUGAAGAAAAUACUCUAAUAGAAAUGGAAAUAGUCAUAGAUAAUGUUGUAUUUGUUCAUUUAAAAGUAUUUAUUGAGCACUUACUAGGUUCUAAGCUGGGGAUAUAGCAGUUAAUAAAACAGACAAAUUUAUAUUCUAGAGAACUGGUACAGAGGGUACUAUUAAAUAAUUCAGCAUAGCAUGUAUAGUUUAAAAAUAAAAUUUCAGGCCCAACAUAUUAAAAAAGACUAAUUUUGUAAAAUGUCAUUAACAUUACUCCACUACUCUGUAAACUAGAUUAUUUCUACUUGAAAUCAAAGAAAGUUAUGACAUUCUGGAGUAUGCUAUCUAGCUUCCUACUGGGGGAAAAAGUGUAAUUCAGCAAUUUUGUGCUUAAUAUUUUUAGGACUAUGUAUUCUCUUUAAUUCUUUCAGUGUGCUUCAAAGCAUAUAGGACUGCAAGUCAUAAUAAGAAAAUGCCAGAAUCUGAACACAGCAUAAUCACAAUCAUUACUUUUCAUCUAAAAGUUCAUGUAUUUAAAGGACCUAUUCCUUAAGCAAGUAUUUAUUAAGGAAGACUUCUUUUUAAGUAAAAUACAUCCACAAAUUAAGACAGAGGAGUUUUAAUCAUGUAUAAAAUUAUUUUAUAAUUCCUAUUAGACAAUCACCACACCAUAUUUCAUCAACAGAAAUGCAAGAGCAUUAUGCAAGUGAGAGCAUUACUUCUGAUCAGAUAUGUACGUGAAGCUGGCAGAUUUUUAUAUCAGGGAUUGCAUUCUUCUGGCCACCUGGGGAAAUAAGCAGCCAGGAAAAUCUGGCUUGGGCUGGAAGAAGACUAAUGCACUAAUAUUUAUUUAUGAAAGCAUCAUAUAUUCUGCUCUUCCAGGAAUUAUUGUGGUAAAGAUUUCACUGCAGUGUGCAUGAGGUGAAAAUAGAAACUGGAUUCUUUUACCAUGCAGAAUUGUCACAACCUACCACUGAAUAAAGGUUAAAGACCUUUUCCCUAAUUUUAAAAACAAAAACCAAAACAAAUUUAUUAUGAUUUCACUGAUUUUUGAUAGAAAUCUUUUAGUGGUAAUACAUUGUUACCUAAGCAAACUUCUUAGUAUGCUGAAGAUUUUUGAAGAUUAAUCAAGACUAUGGAUAGACAUUAGAUCAACAGUCUUCAGUCUUCAUAUCCACUAGAAAGUAAAGGGCUGAUAGUUUAACACUUUGCAUCUUUCAAAGAAGAUCAUUCAUGUGAAUAUCCUUGGUGAGCUCAUUGUCGUCUGCAAUAGAAAGCCUACAUUUUCUUUUCACUACAUAAUCAACGAUAUAAUCAAAUGGCCCAUCAAAUUAAUUAAUAAGAUUUUAAUCCAGUGCAGCUAGCAUCCUAAUUAACUUGUCAAGUGUGUAUACUAAGUCUCCACAGCAGUUAUUUUUAAAAGUCUGUGCAAGCGUGUGCGUACAAUCAUAAAUUCACGGAAUAUGCAAGAACAUUGGAAGGGGCAGCUGAGGAGCAAAGGAUGCAGAAGAGAGAGAUGUUUUAUUAUGUAUUUUUUUGUAUUUUGAGUUCUGUGCCAUGAGCAUAUAUUAACUCCCCAAAACAAAUUUUAAAAAAUUAAAUAUUUUUGGGGGGGGAAGAAGGGCAAAUACUGAAGAUUAAGUUCCUCUUCUUUAUGACCACAUAGGUUGGUCAUAAAGGUUGUCCAUUCAUGUUGGGAUCCUGUCUCAGUGUUUUCUGGAUCACAAAUCCACCCUAAAGCCAAGGGGCCCACUCUUAAGUUGAAAUAAAACUGUGUGUUUCAAUCAUACUAUAAAACAACUAAAUCUUAGCACAAGAUCCAACAAAGGAAAGUCAGAAAAGAGAAGGUAAGAGAGGGACAGGAAAGAAAGGGGGGAGAGGGAAGAGGAUUUUUGACUGAAGGGUGAGAGCAGAGAAGUGGAGAAGGAUAAAAAUUCUAUCACUGUCCAAUUGCUAUGAAUCUCCUCUGGCCUGAAAUCUCCUUUUCUUCCUAUCCUUCUGCCACAUUUAUCAUUCUUCCUAUCCUUCUAGCUCAGGUGAUUGUCUCUCAGUGGGAUGAUGACCACAGAUGUCUUUCUGUCUUCUCUGAUGCCAGUGUUAUCUGCUCAAACCUAUCCUUCACCUGCCCACCUCACCUUAAAAUCUUUUAGAGGCUCUCCACCAUCUACAGGACUCAGAUUUCAGCCUCCUCCUCGAUCCCUAACUCAUUUUCUCCUACCUUGUGCUUGAAACUCUAGCAGCAUUCGACCACCUGUUCUUCCUUCAACACCAAAUGCUACUUCUUAUUCAUCAUGCUAUUGCUUGUGUUGUUCACAGUACCCCCCCAAAAAAAGCUACAAUUGUCCCUCCCAUUAAUAACAUUUUAUUAUUUUAUUUAUUUAUUUAUUUUCUGACUGCCCCACAGCAUAAAGAGUUCCCAGGCCAGGGAUCAGAUUCAAACCACAGCUGUGGACAAGGUCACAGCUGCAGCAACAUAGGAUCCUUAACCCACUGUGCCAGGCCAGGGAUCAAACCUGUGUGCCAGCACUCCCAAGACACCAGUGAUUCCAUUGUGCCAUAGUGGGAACCCCAACAGUAUUUUAUAAUUAGCUGCUUGUGUGAGUGGUUUCCUCCCUUGACUGCGAUAUGCGUUAUCCACCCUAGUCUCAUCCAGGACUGGAACAUUGAAGAUGCUCAAUAUAUACUGACUAACAUUAAAAAAGAGAAUGCCUUUGACCAAACUCUCUAUGAUCCAAGAAAGGCCUUUCACCUGCUACUUCCCUAUGUGUUAAGUGAAAGAGCACAUUUUACUAAAGAACUUCUCUCUUUCUGAGAUUAUCCAUAAGGUAUGGUUUGCACUGUAUCUAGAACCCAAAGAAGCUAGUAUCCAUUUCAUAAUAUUAUAAUCAUUGACUUCCUCACAUUUUUAUUAGGGAAAUUUUCAAACAUACUCAAAAGAGAAGAGAAUAAUUCAAUGAUCCAUCAACAUCUUGCCAAUUUUAUUUCACGUAUCCUCCCAAUCACACAUGUUUAAAGCAAAUAUCAAUCAUUGUAACAUUUUCCCUAUAAACAGUUCAUCAUGCUUCUUCGAUACAUACAGCCUUUUUAACAUAACAACUAUGACAACUAUGACAAUGAGUGACAUUUAUCUGUGAUAUUAUAAUAUAUCUUAACAUGUUCAAUAAUUAUAUGAGGGAGUCAAAAUUCCAAAAUCAUUUUCAAUAUGUUUAAAUAACUGGGGCAUCAGUCUACCAUGUGGACCUUUCUCCUGACAGCAACUGGCCAGGGUUCAGUGAUGGUUAAUAGUCAGUAUUCUAAUGCUGCUCUCAUAUGCACUAAAUUCCUAUCUAUAUUUUUAAGAAAUAUUAUUAUUUUUACUUAAAUUAUCAAAGAGAACUCUAGAAGAAUAAAACUGCUCUGGUUCAGAACUAUCAUGAUUAUCUUUACUAUCAUGUCAUAAUAAUCCUUUUCUAAACACACAUAAUUUGUUUCCAAUGGCUCAGGAUACUCAGUCAAUAUUAAUUCAAUUCAGAAACUUUUAAAAAAAGGAAAAUUGAAGUCAAUAAAUUUAAUCAUGGGCAACCUUGAUGAACCUUAGACAUGGCAGGAUGAACUUAGAGCAGUUUCACUUUGGGAAUUACCUGCAACUUCCUAGAUGAAUAUUUAUGACUAUUUGAGGAAUAUUAGCUAAAACCACCAACAGGUGAAAGUUCUAUUGAGGCCGAAGAGAUAAUCUUCCUUACAGAGAGGUAAAAUAAUUGAUAUAAUAAAGAAAAUCAACUCAUUU